GCGUUCGUGAUGGAACUGGCAUACAUACUAGUCUUAGAAACUAGGUUUUGUGGGUUCGACUCCCACCGGACGCACCA
rnacentral:tRNA from 1 species